rnacentral:tRNA from 1 species
GCCUGGCUGGCUCAGUUGGUAGAGCAUGUGACUCUUGAUCUCAGGAUCUCAGUUCAAGCCCCAUGUCAAGCA